CCUACGGGAGGCAGCAGUGAGGAAUAUUGGUCAAUGGGCGGGAGCCUGAACCAGCCAAGCCGCGUGAGGGAAGAAGGUACAGCGUAUCGUAAACCUCUUUUGUCAGGGAACAAAGGCGGGGACUAGUCCCCGGAUGAGGGUACCUGAAGAAAAAGCAUCGGCUAACUCCGUGCCAGCAGCCGCGGUAAUACGGAGGAUGCGAGCGUUAUCCGGAUUUAGUGGGGUUAAAGGGUGCGCAGGCGGCCUGUUAAGUCAGCGGUAAAAGCCCGGGGCUCAACCCCGGCGAGCCGUUGAAACUGGCGGGCUUGAGUGGGAGAGAAGUACGCGGAAUGCGCGGUGUAGCGGUGAAAUGCUUAGAUAUCGCGCAGAACCCCGAUUGCGAAGGCAGCGUACCGGCUCCACACUGACGCUGAGGCACGAAAGCGUGGGUAUCGAACAGGAUUAGAUACCCUUGUAGUC
rnacentral:rRNA from 1 species